UACGUAGGCAGCAAGCGUUGUUCGGAGUUACUGGGCGUAAAGAGUGCGUAGGUGGUGCCCUAAGUCUGUUGUGAAAUCUCCCGGCUUAACUGGGAGGGUGCGGUGGAAACUGGGGUGCUUGAGUGUGGGAGAGGUAAGCGGAAUUCCUGGUGUAGCGGUGAAAUGCGUAGAUAUCAGGAGGAACACCAGUGGCGAAGGCGGCUCACUGGCCCGGUACUGACGCUGAGGCGCGAAAGCGUGGGGAGCAAACAGG
rnacentral:rRNA from 1 species